GAUGAACGCUGGCGGCGUGCCUAAUACAUGCCAGUCGAGCGAACAGACGAGGAGCUUGCUCCUCUGACGUUAGCGGCGGACGGGUGAGUAACACGUGGAUAACCUACCUAUAAGACUGGGAUAACUUCGGGAAACCGGAGCUAAUACCGGAUAAUAUAUUGAACCGCAUGGUUCAAUAGUGAAAGACGGUUUUGCUGUCACUUAUAGAUGGAUCCGCGCCGCAUUAGCUAGUUGGUAAGGUAACGGCUUACCAAGGCAACGAUGCGUAGCCGACCUGAGAGGGUGACCGGCCACACUGGAACUGAGACACGGUCCAGACUCCUACGGGAGGAAGCAGUAGGGAAUCUUCCGCAAUGGGCGAAAGCCUGACGGAGCAACGCCGCGUGAGUGAUGAAGGUCUUCGGAUCGUAAAACUCUGUUAUUAGGGAAGAACAAAUGUGUAAGUAACUAUGCACGUCUUGACGGUACCUAAUCAGAAAGCCACGGCUAACUACGUG
rnacentral:rRNA from 1 species